rnacentral:lncRNA from 1 species
UUCUGGCCUAGGCAGUAUGGCUCUGAAGUCUCCAAUCACUACCACUGUGCUAUGCUGCCUUUCAAGAAAAAGAUGAUCUGUCCAUUGCUGCAAGUAAGGUGUUAAAGUCCUCUACUAUCAUCGAAAUAGGAAACCAUCAAAAUCCUGGAGGAGAAUACAGGUAAAAACCUCUUUGACCCUAACUGUAGCAUCUUCUUACUAGACACAUCACCACAGGCAAGGUAAAC